UACGUAGGGUGCGAGCGUUGUCCGGAAUUAUUGGGCGUAAAGAGCUUGUAGGCGGUUUGUCGCGUCUGCUGUGAAAAUCCGGGGCUCAACCCCGGACUUGCAGUGGGUACGGGGCAGACUAGAGUGUGGUAGGGGAGACUGGAAGUUCCUGGUGUAGCGGUGAAAUGCGCAGAUAUCAGGAGGAACACCGAUGGCGAAGGCAGGUCUCUGGGCCACUACUGACGCUGAGAAGCGAAAGCAUGGGGAGCGAACAGGA
rnacentral:rRNA from 1 species